AUUCUGCCCAUGCGGGGAAGGAUGAGAAGCUUCGACCAAGGUUCGACUCGAGCGCCAGCGAGAGAGCGUUGCCGCAGGCAACGACC
rnacentral:sRNA from 1 species